CCUGAUGGCUUAGAUAGUAAAGAGUCUGCCUGCAAUGCAGGAGACUCAGGUUCAAUCCCUGGGUCAGGA
rnacentral:tRNA from 1 species